rnacentral:rRNA from 1 species
UAGGGAAUCUUCGGCAAUGGACGAAAGUCUGACCGAGCAACGCCGCGUGAGUGAAGAAGGUUUUCGGAUCGUAAAACUCUGUUGGUAGAGAAGAACGUAGGUGAGAGUGGAAAGCUCAUCAAGUGACGGUAACUACCCAGAAAGGGACGGCUAACUACGUGCUAG